GGCAGUGGUGGCUCAGUGGUUAAGGCUCUGGGUUACUAACCAGAAGGUUGGGGGUUCAAGCCCCAGUACUGCCA